UUCCUCUCCGGCAGAACGGUGGCAAAAACGUGAUCGCUCCGGGAGAGCAAGGGAGAGGAGAAAUUUGUUUGGGGUUGCCGUCUUCGGUCGGUGUGUUUUAAUCUUCGUUUGAAUUGGGCGAGAAGCUGUUUGCUGAGUGUGUGUGUUUGGGGGGAGGGGGGAGUUUCUGAAGUGGCUCCCUAGUUCGAAGAUAUUAUUAAAAAAAUUUUUCUAAAAAAAAAAAAGAUAAGGGAGAAAAAUGCGAGGUAUUCACACUGAAGUGUGGAGUUUGUAGAGCCCGAGUGGGGGAGGGGAGCCCAUUCAUCGCCAGGGUUUGAAUCAGCAGCAGGCGGAGGAGCCGACCACUCCAGUAAAUCGAAGUUUACUUCCAAGUAUUAAAAACAUUUAGAAGCUAUCCUUUGACAUUGUCUUCAAGAAAACAAGGAGGAUUUGCUUUUAGUGGAGAGAUUCCCUUUGUCAUACUGCGGAAUAAUACAUUUGUUGUGCUCCUUUUUGAAGCCAGCAAACUGCAGUGGACACAUAACUUCAGCUUCUGCUAUAUUUUGCGGUGCAGCACUAUCAGCUCUUCAUUAAUCCUAUACCAUCGAACACAGACUCUGCAGAAUAUUCCCUGCAGUUCAAGAGUAAAGCCAACUAUUUAUGAUUUAUACUUCUGAACAGAAUAAUAGUGUAUUAUAACAGCACUGAUGAAAGGACACUGUUGUAUUGUUAAGAUUAACAUGUAUACGGUUUUUAUUAUUUUUAUGCUUAAAAAUGUACAGUGAUGAAUUUUUGCUGAUUUUAACACAUUCCAGUAGCCUACAGCAAAAUCAUUCAAGAAUUACUUCUGAAAGAAAUGACCUUCACAGUGUAUCGUAAACAUACAAAUGAGAUUUUUAUAAAAUUAAUUAAAAAUAUGUAUCUUCUGCAAAUCCAUAUGUAUUAGUAACUUACAAUUAGGAAGUCUUACAACCAUAUGAUAGCUUCAGUGUUGAGCAGCUACAAGUUGCUUUUUGUCUCCACCAGUACAUUCAGUGUAGUUGCUAC
rnacentral:lncRNA from 1 species